ACGGAGGGGGCAAGCGUUGUCCGGACUAACUGGGCGUAAAGGGCACGUAGGCGGCGCGCUACGUUUGGGGUGAAAUCGCUCGGCUCAACCGGGCGGGGUCUCCAAAUACGGGCGGGCUGGAGGCAUGCAGAGGGUGGUGGAAUUCCCGGUGUAGUGGUGAAAUGCGUAGAGCUCGGGAGGAACACCAGUGGGGCAGCCGGCCACCUGGGCAUGACCUGACGCUGAGGUGCGAUAGCGUGGGGAGCGAACCG
rnacentral:rRNA from 1 species